AUUAAACGCUGGCGGCAGGCCUAACACAUGCAAGUCGAACGGUAACAGGAAGAAGCUUGCUUCUUUUCUGACGAGUGGCGGACGGGUGAGUAAUGUCUGGGGAAACUGCCUGAUGGAGGUGGAUAACUACUGGAAACGGUAGCUAAUACCGCAUAACGUCGCAAGACCAAGGAGGUGGACCUUCUGGCCUCUUGCCAUCGGAUGUGCCCAGAUGGGAUUAGCUUGUAGGUGGGGUAACGUCUCACCUAGUCGACGAUCCCUAGCUGGUCUCAGAGGAUGACAGGCCACACUGGAACUGAGACACGGUCCAGACUACUACGGGAGGCAGCAGUGGGGAAUAUUGCACAAUGGGCGCAAGCAUGAUGCAGCCAUGCCGCGUGUAUGAAGAAGGCCUUCGGGUUGUAAAGUACUUUCAGCGGGGAGGAAGGGAGUAAAGUUAAUACCUAUGCUGAUUGACGUUACCCGCAGAAGAAGCACCGGCUAACUACGUG
rnacentral:rRNA from 1 species